rnacentral:lncRNA from 1 species
AAACUGUAAGAGGGGGAUGGGUGUAGAAACAGCUGUUCUGGAGCUCCAGGGAAGGCUGAUGACAGCAGGAAGGAAAGAGCACACAGCACGGCAGGAGCAGAGAGUCAGUUUCCAUGAUGAAUUUGAGGACGAAGAGCAACUUUUUUGGCAAGAAGUUCACUGUCCUGGUAAACACGAUAAAGGGGGUGCAACAUAUGUGCUGAAGUCAUUUAAGGGCAGAGGAAUCAGCAGAGGACCUCUGAAAACCUGGAAGGACAGGACAGGUUGUGGUGCUGCACAAACCUAGAGAUGAAACAGGGAAGAAUCAGAAUUAGGAGGCCUCAUGAGAAGAUCUGGCUCUGACUGUCCCGAGGACACUAGAUUCACCAGGAGCACCCUGUCAGCGUGGCUCCACCAUGGAGGGUAACAACCCAAACAUGUAACACACCUGGGUCCUCUGGCUACAGAUAAGCAUAGAAUAAAAGUAG